AUGAACGACGACAUUGAAAAGCGCGUCCUGGUUAAUAAAGAUGGCAGCCUCUCAGUGGAGAUGAGGGUGCGCUUUCGUCUACACAAUGACGAGACCCUCCAGUGGUCCACGCAAAUGAAAAAGUCCCCAUCUCUGACCAAUGAAUGUUGCCCCCUGAACCAGGCCCAGCCCCAUUACCUGCAGCAGGGCCAAUCAGAGAGCUGCUCUGACCCUGACUCCACAUCCUAUGAGCGAGAGGGUGCCAAUUAUUCAAGCCAACCUCGUAUGGAGGGGAACCAGUGCCCCUGCUGCUACCAGAGACAGGAACAGCAGUACGACUUGUGGGAAAACCCAGCACACUGCCACAAACAUCCCCCUGUCCCUCCCCCGCAUACAUCCAGCCACACCCACACUAUAACGAGACAUACACACUCUUCCAGCUCUUCCUCGUCGUGUAAUUCCAGGAGGGUGGUGCGCUGUCGAGCACAAGUCGGAGGAUGUUCAGAGACGGGGCAAAUGCUCCAGGAGGAGAUGUUUGUGACGGAGCAGGUUGAGCGCAGAGUGGAGGUGGAGCAAGAUGGAGAUACCCACGUCGAGGUGUGCAGGGUGAGCCGAGGCUGCAGCCACAGUGAGGUAGUUGCCAUUGAUACCAAUGUGCAACCACUUAGCAGGAAGUCAGUGGAGGAGGUUUUGAUGGAGGAAGAGCGUCCGCUGUCUGCAAUCAGCAGCUCCUCACAUGUCCUUCAAUCCCUAAAGGAGGACCAGGAUGAUGACCUGCCACCCAGCGUCUCACAAUGCUGUAAUAGCAUCGAACCAUCUCCAACUUCGACCUCCCAGACUCUGGAUGACAAGCCAGCGAGGUUUGUCAUCUCGGCCGGGUCCGUCCACUCUACAGAGCACAAGGAGGACAGGGAAGAGAGAGGGAGCAGAGCAGCUUCUGCAGCCUCCUCCUGUCACUGUGGAGCAGCAACAGCUGAAGCAGAAGAUCGAGCUCCCAGCUCCAUGUCAAAAAUGAGCAGUGGGUCUCGCAAAGCCAAGAUCCCAAAC
rnacentral:lncRNA from 1 species